UCUUGUGUUCUGAAACAAAAAAAGUGAAUAUAUGAAAGGAAACCUGUACAGUUGAAAUGAAAGCAUGUCAGCAGAUUUUGAAAGAAUGACUAGCUUUGUUACAAGUGUAAUCAGUUUCGUGUUUUGUACUAAGAAUUUUUUUAUUUUACCACUUGCAUGUGAAAAUAGUAUUAGCAAUUUUAAAAAACACUCUACACUUUUGUAAGUCGGGCCCCAUUUAGAUAAUGCGCCUUGGAAUCACUUCGAAUGGCUAAAUGUAAACACUGUACAUUUUUAAACAUUUUAUUGUAAUACAUUUGAACUUCAUUUAAGUGUAUCUGUUUCUGCGUCUUAGUUUAUGCCAAGUUCAACUUGACAAACUGAACCAACGUGUUCCUCAAAGUCUCUACAGGAGUUGAAGUUGAUUCCGAUAUUUGUGAUGAGUUGGUUACAUCAUCUAAUGUGACUUUCAAUGUUUUGGAUAGCGAUAAGUCUAGUAAGAAACUCAAACGACCUGCUGUCAUGUUUUAAUGCAAAAUAUUAUCAAGGAUAAUGUUAUAUAAGCUGAAUGAGACAUUUCUCUGAGGCCUCCUGCUCUGGGUCUUCAUUUUAACAGUGGAAUCGGAAAGUUCAGACUCCACACUGUUUUAUGCAGCUCUGCACUCAAAAUCAGGAGGCUCAUAUAUAUUGACAGUUCUACCUAACAACCUGUCUGACCAAACACAAAGAAAGCUGGUCAACAUCCUCAUAGCGGACAUGGUAGAGAGUUAUGGCCAGUAUCAGCAUAACCAGUGAUCUUGGAAUUCUUUUCAGCAAUUUGAAGGAUUAGUGAGGACCAACUGGUUAUGAACAGUACUAUGAUCCACUCAGUUGCCAGGGUUACUUUGCCUAAAGAUUGUAAAUAGUUUACGCAACUCAGGAAAUAAUUUGAAGAGGACAUCAAAGUCGGUUUACCAAGAUGGCCCCAAGACUCUGGGCGAGACAUCUUCAACAGCUGAGAAGCUAUAUCCGUGAUGAAGCAUUCAAUGGAUCAACCAAUUAUUAAGGAGAGAAUGAAGGCAACGUUCAAGCACAGACAGAAUAUGAUACAUGAUCCAGACAAGUCUUCACCCAUCCUGAAUUACCUUCCCUGAUUCCUGGAUACACCAGACUUGAUGGGGAUGAGCAUUGCGAUGUUCCUUGACCGAGUUGGAUCAACACUGCCCUUCCUCCUCUGUGUUGGGGAAGGAAAAGAGUAGUAUCCAGAAGUUUUACAUCAUCCUGGACCAGAAAGCCAUCCCCUGCAUGGUGCAGAUAGCUGUUGACUCUUUGACCAACUCUUUAAGGUGCACUUUGUGUGUUCUGUAUCCUACGAUGAGUCCUUAUGCAACUUCUAUACUUUCAUCCAAACAAGUGUGUAUGGAAUUGAAGUGGGCACAGCCAAGGAGAAUCCAAGGGUCAAGGACACGAGUGAGAAUUCAUAAAACUGAGGUUUGUUUCAGCAUCUGAAGUUUCUUCAUGGUUUUUUGCCAGGGCAUUCAUUGCAUUUAAAAUGUGGAAAACCUGGAUGGUUAUCUGUGUUUUGGACAGUGCAUAUUACGGACUCAAGGAACAUUUAGAGGGCAUGGAGAAUGUGCAGCCUCGGGUACUGUUGUCAGUUUGGGCAGUGGUGACAUUGUUCUUGUUUCUGACUCACUGCGAAGUGAGGAUUCUCCUGUCACUUUUCCAGCUACUGUUGAAAAUAGGCAGCUUCUAGAUAUGUGAAGCUUUAUCAUUGUUUAGGUGCAAGCAUCUGGAUUCUCCGAAAGUACUGUUCAGUGUUUAGUUGGUACAAUGUAGGAACUUGUAAGCAACGUUCUUUCUCAAGCACAAGACGCUGUUGUUUGUCAUCUUAAACUUUGAAUAUGUCAGCUGUCUCCAUUAUUUCCUCCUGGGUAAAAAGCUAUGGAACUGAAUACCAAGUUGGAAUGCUCUGCUGUUGAAAAUGAAAUGCCUGUUUUCAAAUGAUAUAUAUUCAUAAAAAUGUUGUUAAAGAUGAGCAAACAUUCUUUUUGUAAUGUGUUUUGAAGAGCAUGUGAAUGCAUUCUGUAUUGAGAUUAUUUUUUUCACUAUCAUUUGUGUGACUGAUUUUAUAGACUUCACGACAGGCAUUUUUCACAUGACAAUGAAAGAACACAUUGUGCCUUAUUGUAGUUUUGUUUCAGACUGCAAGUCUAAAGUCUGAAACAUUUUAAAUGUGAGCAAUUCUAGCGUUAUGGAUGUGACAUUUGUAGUGAAAACUUCAAAUGUAACUUCUCAGGAAAGUAUCAAUUACUAUUAUAUGAAACCAUUCAUACCUGCUGGUAGAGUCCAGACAUCAGAAAAAAGUCAGUCUAUACUAUAUUUUUUCCAGUUCAGAUUGGGAUAUACACUUGCGUUAUGGAUGUGACAAGUAUGGACAUGACUUUUUAAGAGACUACAUACUUUGUAGGAUCUCUGUGAAUUAAAAUUCACAAUUCUGGAACAACAAUAGCCACAGAAUGUAGAAGGGUUGGCACUUCAAAGAACAUGUAAUAUUAUUAUUUAUUUCAUUGUCGUUCUCGCAUUGAGGAACAAACUCUGUUAUGGAUGUGACAGUUCUGAAAGCAGAACUUACCUGACUAUGUAAAAGCAUAUACAAUGCUUUGAAAACUUUAAUAGAGACCUCUAAUGGGUAUUUAAACCACCCAACUUUGACCUCUGCGUCAUCAGUAUGGUAAGGCUGCACAAUUGAUCAACUUUAAACUGAAAAAUUAUGUUUUGUGUCAAAAUGAUCGUACUGUUUUCAGCAAGUUUGUUGCAGUUCAGUGCGCAUUACGUUUUGUCAAAAUGGUUGCAAUAUUAUGAUUUGUGUCAAAAUGAUCGCUAGUACUAAUUAUUGCAAAAGUUAUGUUUUAACCAAGUCAAAAAAUGGCUGGCAUUUGGAUUCUUUAUUAAGAGCAAAAAAGCAGCAACACGAUCUAUGCGAAACAGAUGUCCAAAAAAGGUGAGUAUACAGCACAUACAGUUAAUCAUUUAUUGUUUAUGAACAUGUCUAAGAAAUAAUUUUUACAAUAAAUAUUUAAAUAGUUUACAAUUAACUUUUUACAUACACUUGUAACUAAAAAUAUCAUUGAAUAUUGUAAAACUUUGAAAUGAUGAAAUGUAUUAAGCAAUUAAAACAUCAAGUGUUGAUUGUCGUUCUUAUCAGAGGUUGUGAACAAACAAGGCGAAUAAAUAUCAAAUAAACAAACAUGAAUACGAUUAAUUAGAUGACAUUUAAUCUAGAUUCCUUUUCAUAUUAUUUUUCCUUCUCUGUUCUGCCAAGACUGUCUCUGCAAACUGAUACCUCCCCCUAUUGUCUACUUAUGGAUUUAAAGUCUCACCCAAGCUUUAUCUUCCACCAUAGGUAAGAUGUACACAAAUCCAGCAUUAUCAUUCCUUUUUAAGAACCGUAUUUCAAGUGCCUCGUGGUCUUGGUUAUUCACAAGUUCAACAAACUGUCUAAAUUAUUUGUUUGCCUUGAAUUGGAUCAAGACACAAUCUCCAGUUUUAUUGUUCUUUGCAGCAGUUAACUGGGACUCAGAGGACUGGUGUUGAGGAGUUUCAGUAGAUGUGGCUUCUGAGAGUAAAGAUGUGUGGACACCUGUCUGUUCUGCCUCAGAGUAGAUUUUGUGACAAAUUUUUCCCUAGGAGACUGGCUCCUGGGUGAAAAAUCCAUAUGAUGGAUGGACUGAGUGCCCAGAACAGCUGUGAUAAUGGCCCACCUAUCAUCCAGCUUGUACUGCUCUGUAAAAUCUGUGAUUUCAAUGGAUGUAAUCAGUUUGAUUUCAGUGUUUGGUCAACUCUUCCUUGCAGAAUCUACAAGUGAUGCUGCAUCUGUAACAAUGAUUGCCUGUCUGCUGAAGACAUCUGUAUUAACAGCACGCUUUACUGUUGCUCCCACACCAUCCACAGCACCUUUGCCAUGGCUUGUGGCAAAGAAGUGCCACUGCACCCAUAUAUUUGGGAACAGCUCCUUGAAAGUGGUUGACAGGAAACACCAGAUGAACUUGUUUUUAAAUUGAGAAGCUGCUCCAUCACUGAAUAUGUGAAUCUCUCUCAUCUCGGGAUGCUUCUCUUGAAUGUGUUCCACAAUCUUGGUGAUGAAUAUUGCCACAGACCUCUUGUCAUGUUCCAAGCUGUCACUCACAAUGGCAUAUUACUCUGCAUCUCCAUCAGACCACACAACAGAUGGAAACACUGUGAUCUGUCUCUGAUGUCAGUGUGCUGACUGGAUCUGAUCUUGGUAGGCAGUGGUGUAGUUUUCAGCAAAAUCUACCUGCAGCACCACAAUUUCCUUGUCUGUCUUGCUUUUUUUUUUUUUUUUUUUUUUGGCCUGGAAAGAUGCACUUUGAUGUCUCUUCACAAAACAGUGAUGCAAAAAUUUUGUAGCAGCUGUCUUGAGAACAAGAAGUACAUCACCCAGUGUGCCACUCUUUUGGACCUUAUUUGGCAGACCUCCUGUUGCUUCCCAUGUGUACCAGGUUACCUUAAUUAGCUUGCCUUCUUCUGGGAUGUGACUAAGGAUACGCAUUUCCAACAGCUUGCCAUUUCUGCACUCAUCACACUGACUUAACAUACAUUUGGGACAGUCUGGACUGCAGACCACAGCUUCAACAAAAUCCUGUGUGCUCUGAAAUGCUUGCCUUGGGAUAACAUGUUGCAAACAGUCCAGGGCUAAUUUUAUAUUUUCAUGGUAUCAGCAAAGGCACACAUUUCGUGGCGUGUCUGAACACCAGAAUACAUGAGAUGUUCGGAGCUCAGCAAACUUAGAUUUCCCAAUUAUACACUCCGGAUGUUCACUUUUGAAACAGCGGUAGGCCUCUAGAAUAGACAUUGUCAAAUGUUGUUUCUGAAUCUUCUUUUUUACUCCUCCCUCUCUGAUCGUGACCACAUCCCUUAUCCCUGGUGCUUGCCUUGAAAGGUAAUCUCUUUCAUAAAAUUCCCUGACAUGAUCAUAUACAGUACUUGUGGCAGUCACACGAUUUUUUUUUCUGCAAGAAGGCACAGUGACAUGGCAAUUUUUUUAUUUAUUUUUUAUAACUACAUUUUUUGUGAGGGCUGCUUGGUAAAGCUCGGAGUACUGGUUUUACUGCCUUGCCUAGAGACUGUCUUGAAUUAAAUGGUGAUCUCUUUGGUGACUCCUGGAGUAAAACAGGAAGCUGUGACUUCUUGAGCAAAUGCCUUUUCUUCUGCCUUUGUCUAGCAUUCUCCCUGAAUCUCUCUGCCUCUUGUUUUGAUUGCGUUUCCUUCUUUCUUAGUCUCUCUGCUUGCUUUCUCUUUCUUUCCUUUUCCUUGAAAUUGUCAUCAUUCCUCUUCCUCUCUCUGAAUGCCUUUUGUCUUUCAGCAUUAGUUUUUGCCAUCGCACGGUAAGAUGAGAUAUAUAUAUAUAUAUAUAUAUAUAUAUCUUUGUAUAAAUAAAUUAUAUUGUUCCUUUAUUUGUGAUAUUAUUUGUGAUCAUUUGUUUUAUUAAAUUGAUUGUUGUUGCUGUUGUUAACAUUGAUAUUUGGUAAUAAAAAUAGUUAAAACUGACUAGAUUGAUCAUUUCAUAGUGGCAAUUCACUUCAUGGCAACCGUGUAUUUCUAUGAUUUUUUUUUAAUUAUACUGUAAUUUUAUAAAUAAAUUUACAUAUAUGUAAAUUAUAUCAAAUAACUUAAGAAUUAGUGCAAAUAAAGUGGAGAUUCUAUCUGAAAAUAGAAGAUUUAUCACUUCAGAAACGACUCUUCUUAACCACCAGAGGGCGCGAGAGAGCGAGGGGAAAACACGUCAUCUAGAGGUGUGUCCUUUAAGGUAGGAUGUAAACAAUCGGCUGAGUGAACAUUUGCGUUGAAGAUGUUAUUUUAGUAUUGGUGCACACCUCAUGUGGUGGAUGAACAUGGCAAUUUAAUUUAGGCAACAAGGCAACAGCACUUUAAUACAGUAAAAUACAGACCUAUGGACAACUUAAAAAGGGUUUUUUUCUUUGGGUAAAAACUUUAUUUUUUCAUGGUAAGGCAUAAAUCCGAUCACAGUGGUACAAGUCAGCUACCUAGCGGAUACACCAUGGUAAACAAAUCCUUGUCGGAGCUCGAAGAUCUUUGACUCUC